ACAAGAGUCACGUGAUCAUUCACGCCCCAAUCUGAGUCGUAACUUCCUUGUUUUUGUCUGAACCUUUGAAUUUGAAACCAUCUGACGAAGAUACGAUCAAAACACACGGGGAACGAAAUGCGUUUAACCAGAUGUCACGAUCGAGGAUACGCAGGGCUUGGAUUAAGGGAUCAAUCUGAAUAUUGUGCUGUUGAACACUCCUGAUUCAGAUUAUCAUCUCCCAGAAGAUCUGUUUUGGCACAUUAUAUCUUCCGAAAUACAGUGACAUAAACACACUUCGUAACAAGCUAAUACAUGCUGUCAGCUUUUGUGAGUUUUUGGAAAGGGGUGAGAAGGUCAACAAUGCUUGAAUGCACCAAACCCCAAGUAGCCUAUAUGUGAUCAGCGUUAGGCUGAUGGCUGCCUUUUGUAUCUCUUUACGUUAAACAAAUCCUAUAUCUCAGAUGCACAGUUCUAGCAUUUAAAAUGUCAUGUCUUGGUUUAAUUCUCAGAGAACACAUGGACUGAAUAAAUGUAUAUCUUGAAUGCACUGAAGUCACAUUACUUCGUUUCAGUAACACAUAAAUUAAGCAGGGGUGUGAACGGUACGUGUAUUUGUACAGAACCAUCAUCGAUAACAUUCUAAAUAUAGCCAUCACUCCUACACCCUAUUCCCUUCGAAGGGCGGAGCCCUUGGACUUUAGACUUUGGAGUUAACAGGUUAUUUGCGUGCCAUUAUGUAGACGUUUGGAAUGCACUUGGCAAAGGGAAAAACGUCAUUUUCUCAUUAUUUUCAGCUGGCAUGUUUCCGUGACAACGAAGCAUUGGCUUGUUCGACUUGAUGUGACGCCGCAAGAUCCGACAGGUUGAUGACAUCAAAGUACCACGAGAGCGAUUCGAAAAAAAACAUAAAAAAAUUGCUUUCGAAUCGCCCUCGUGGUACUAUGAUGCCUGUCGGAUCUUGAAGCGCCGAAUCAAGUCGAACAAACCUAUUGUGUCCGUCAGUUUAUGUCACUGUUUUAAUGUCAUACAUUUUAAAAGUUUUAAAAAGAUGCUAUAUAAUAUAAAACACAUAUAUCAAAGUUUUAAAAAUAUCAAAGGUUUCGUUUAUUGGCAAACCGUUAGGUUUUAUGCUGAAGAUAAUGUGGAAAUUACGUCGCUCCCUUUGUCAAGUGCAUUCUAAACGUCGACGUAAUGUCACGCAAAUGCCCUGUUCACUCCAAAGUCUAAAGUGAGUAGUGCAUACAUAGGAAUGAUGACUUCAUUUGGAAGUUUCCCCGGGACAGCUCGUGACGGUUCAGUACGAAUACACUUACCGUUACACCCCUAAAAUUAAGUCAUAUUUUAUAACCCUUCUGCAGAAAUGGGUUCUUUGUGUAAAUAGGACAAUUAUGGUUCCCAACCUUCAGUCAAUAGUUCUUAUAUGAUCCAUAUCCUUUUUAUAAUAUGAAAGAAACAUUUUUCCGAUACCUGUUGUGGAAUUAAACAUUUUUUGGAUGUUUUGAUUUGGAAACACAUUUAAUGUGCUUAAUGUUGUAUUGUUAUUCAUGAAUGUUUACUUUUAGAGAAAUAAAAAGACAUAUUUGCUCACAA